rnacentral:rRNA from 1 species
AGCUCUUGACAUCCCGGUCGCGGAUCGCAGAGAUGCUUUCCUUCAGUUCGGCUGGACCGGUGACAGGUGCUGCAUGGCUGUCGUCAGCUCGUGUCGUGAGAUGUUGGGUUAAGUCCCGCAACGAGCGCAACCCUCAUCUUCAGUUGCCAUCAGUUCGGCUGGGCACUCUGAAGAAACUGCCGGUGACAAGCCGGAGGAAGGCGAGGAUGACGUCAAGUCCUCAUGGCCCUUAUGAGCUGGGCUACACACGUGCUACAAUGGCAGCGACAGUGGGAAGCAAGACCGCGAGGUGGAGCUAAUCCCCAAAAGCUGUCUCAGUUCGGAUUGUUCUCUGCAACUCGAGAGCAUGAAGUCGGAAUCGCUA